rnacentral:rRNA from 1 species
GAUGAACGCUGGCGGCGUGCCUAACACAUGCAAGUCGAACGAAGCACCUUACCUGAUUCUUCGGAUGAAAGUUUGGUGACUGAGUGGCGGACGGGUGAGUAACGCGUGGGUAACCUGCCCUGUACAGGGGGAUAACAGCUGGAAACGGCUGCUAAUACCGCAUAAGCGCACGAGGAGACAUCUCCUUGUGUGAAAAACUCCGGUGGUACAGGAUGGGCCCGCGUCUGAUUAGCUGGUUGGCAGGGUAACGGCCUACCAAGGCAACGAUCAGUAGCCGGUCUGAGAGGAUGAACGGACACAUUGGAACUGAGACACGGUCCAAACUCCUACGGGAGGCAGCAGUGGGGAAUAUUGCACAAUGGGGGAAACCCUGAUGCAGCAACGCCGCGUGAGUGAAGAAGUAUUUCGGUAUGUAAAGCUCUAUCAGCAGGGAAGAUAAUGACGGUACCUGACUAAGAAGCUCCGGCUAAAUACGUG